CUAAGGAUGUUUCUGGUAUCAAGAGCUUGCUCCUGAUCGUGAAACACUUAGCAGCUUCCAGUCCUCAAGUAGCCGCAAGGCGGUAGGACAUAAGCGGAAGCAAUAUCAGCUCCUCAAGAGCUUGAACCCGACCGUCCUCAUAUCUCUUCAGACAGAACAAGCGGGCCGCCGGCCCGUCGAUAUUUGCCAGCAGGCAAUAUCAACUUGGGUCGGUAGCUCAGGUGGUUAGAGCGCACGCCUGAUAAGCGUGAGGUCGGAGGUUCAAGUCCUCCUCGACCCACCAACGUCAUCUUCGCCGGAGGCGAAAAUGACGGUCGCGGCAGUGCUUGGCAUGGCCAAGCACCUGCGACACGGCUGAACCACAAGCGGAUCGCAGGGUCUUUCCCCUCUCGGUGAUUUCCUUCGGAAUCACCUGUCGGGUUUACGGCCCCUUUGAUGAUCCGCAGGCGGAUCAUCAAAGGGGCCUUAGCUCAGCUGGGAGAGCGCCUGAUUUGCAUUCAGGAGGUCAGGAGUUCGAUCCUCCUAGGCUCCACCAACGUCACAUCGCGACGCGAGGUGACGGCGAGCGAAAGCACGUGGCGCAGCCAGGUGCGUGCGAGAUGACAUUGUUCUGACCCGGUCGAUUAGAUCGUUAAGCACUGUCUGAGUGUUUAACCGUCCAAUCGGACGUUGGCUUUCUUCGGAAAGCCUUUGACAUCGUUUAGAGAGAUACAAAUAUCAACACUGUUUGGUCACCCGAGUAUGGGAUUGACCUCGGUUUGGUUCUGCUUCGGCAGAAGGCACAUUCUGGAAUGCUUCCUCACUCCAGCCUGUGUAUCCCGGAUCGAAAAGAACAGCGUUGUCCAAGUCAAGUACACUAACUGAUGCUGAUCAAUGAUCAGCAUGGGAUAGUUUGCUUUUGAUCGGAAAGAGCAUUUGCACAUAUUGCGAUACGGCUGGCUGCCUGGUGUUUAACCGCGCUCAAGUAGCCGAAUAGGCGGUAGCGCAAGCGAAUCUGUCUCUUUC
rnacentral:tRNA from 1 species